CACACAGUGAGGAAUAUUCUAUUUAAAUUACAUGUUGAAUUAGCCAACUUUGGAGAAUUCUCUACCACCUAGUUUAUGUUGUAAGUCAAAAAACAAAUUAUUCUGCCAAGCAAGGAGCAUGUUUUAGCUUAGUCACCACAGAAGAAACAGAUCACUUUUAAUUAUGACAUUUCAUCAACACUUGGCAAGUAAGAAAGAUGGGUUGAAAGACUGCAUCAGAAAUA
rnacentral:lncRNA from 10 species